UAAAAAUGUUAUAACCUAAACAUGGGACAAAAAACCCAUGAUUCUUUUAAUAACACAAUUAUGUUAAAAUUUUACGUAGAUAUAUAAAAAUUGACUAGUGUUGUUGAAAAGUUUAAACACAAACUAAUUCUUCUCUCCAAGACAGUGAAAAUCUUUGUGAAGGAUUUGUCGUAAGAUGUUGAUUUUUGACGUCUUUCUGUUGUGGUAAUUUCUGAGUCUUUCUAGAUUAUGAAUCUUAAAAUCGAGUUGUAAAUGGGAUUUUACUAUUCCUGGUGUACUUUUGGAAAUGCCCAUUUUAUAAUCACUCAUCCAAGGGUUGAUUUAUGUUAAGGACGUCAUAACUGAAAACUUUUCAGAUGGAUCUAUUAGAACUAAAUUUAGCUUAUUAGAUUGCAGAGCGCAAGCCACUAAAAAAUUCAAAGACCCACCAAUUGGGACACAUUACCUACGCAUCAAAAGUGGUGAACAGUAAAUUUGGGAAAGCAGUUCUACUGGCUUUGGGUUCUGAAGUUGUGUUUCUGCCAGAGCGAGUGACAGAAAUUUACAAGCUAUAUGUGCAGUACUUGGUCGACAAGAAAUACUCUCUAAGUGUUUAAAAGAGCAGUAGAUGUGGGAGCAAACCGACAACCAGCCAGUUCGUUUGAAAUAAUAGAAAAUUAGAUUAGAGAUAUGCUGUGCAACUUAUAAAUACUCCUAUAUUCUAAGAGAAUACAAAGUAUGGAGAGAAAAAAUAUUAUCUGCCAAACUUAACAUCAAGAUGAAGUUGCUCAUCAAUCAAAUAUUUUUUUCCAGUUUUACUGUUUAUUCUUUUCUAUUCUAAGAAGAUGGCACGUGUACAUGAAGGAUUCCAAAAAAUAACCAGGAAACGUGCAAAUGGGCGAUAAAUAUGUGCAAAGGAAGUCAGAUUGUUAAAAAUAAUAACAACGUUACAUUAAAUCAAUUGUAUAUAUUAAUAAAUAAAAUGUAUAAAUUACAUAGCAUAUAGUGUAUUUUAUUAUUAUUAAAUAAAUUUGUUCCAUUAUAGCA
rnacentral:lncRNA from 1 species